AGACAUCUACAUUAGAUACCCGUGUAGUCCCAGCCGUAAACUAUGCGCGUUAGGUGUAUCGGUGACCACGAGUCACCGAGGUGCCGAAGGGAAACCGUGAAACGUGCCGCCGUGGGAAGUACGGUCGCAAGGCUAGAAACUUAAAGGAAUUGGCGGGGAGCACCACAACGGGUGGAGCCUGCGGUUUAAUUGGACUCAACGCCGGGAAGCUCACCGGAUAAGACAGCGGAAUGAUUGCCGGGCUGAAGACUCUGCAUGACUAGCUG
rnacentral:rRNA from 1 species